GGAGUUGGCCAGGCAGUCGCUCCGCUUUCGGGCGGGGAGGAAAGUCCGGGCUCCAUAGGGCAGAGUGCCAGGUAACGCCUGGGGGGUGUGAACCCACGGCCAGUGCAACAGAGAGCAGA
rnacentral:RNase_P_RNA from 1 species